GGCUCCGUAGCUCAGGGGUUAGAGCAUUGGUCUGGUCAACCAGCGGUCGUCAGUUCAAAUCUCACUGGGGCCU